UACGUAGGGGGCUAGCGUUGUCCGGAAUCAUUGGGCGUAAAGAGCGCGUAGGCGGCCAGAUAAGUCCGGUGUGAAAGUCAAAGGCUCAACCUUUGAAUGCCGCUGGAAACUGUCUGGCUAGAGUCCGGGAGGGGCGAGUGGAAUUCCUGGUGUAGCGGUGAAAUGCGCAGAUAUCAGGAGGAACACCAAUGGCGAAGGCGGCUCGCUGGCUCGAUACUGACGCUGAGGUGCGAAAGCGUGGGGAGCAAACAGG
rnacentral:rRNA from 1 species